rnacentral:piRNA from 1 species
UAGUGCUAUUUACUGCUCUUCCAGGCC